AAAUGUAAAAUAUUUUGAUUUCUGGACUGACUUGCUUUGCUAUUCAGUGUUGCUUGUUAUCCUCAAUUGUGCAGUGUUUUUAUUGCCAUCCUCUUUGUUUGCAAACUGUUGCUUCGAUCCGUGCAAGAGCACAGAAGCCGCUCUGCACACCACCUUCCUCCCAUGAG